GCCAGCAUGGCGUAGUGGUUUGAGCAUUGACUAUGACUCUGCAGACAAGGGUUCGAAUCCCUGCUUGCC